UACGUAGGGGGCGAGCGUUGUCCGGAUUUAUUGGGCGUAAAGAGCUCGUAGGCGGCUUGGCAAGUCGGGUGUGAAACCUCCAGGCUCAACCUGGAGACGCCACUCGAUACUGCUAUGGCUAGAGUCCGGUAGGGGACCACGGAAUUCCUGGUGUAGCGGUGAAAUGCGCAGAUAUCAGGAGGAACACCGGUGGCGAAGGCGGUGGUCUGGGCCUUACCUGACGCUGAGGAGCGAAAGCUGGGGGAGCGAACAGG
rnacentral:rRNA from 1 species